rnacentral:rRNA from 1 species
ACACGCAAGUAGAGCUGUCACAGAGUUAGCUUGCUAUCUGCUGACGAGCGGCGGACGGGUGAGUAAUGCUUGGGAACAUGCCUUGAGGUGGGGGACAACAGUUGGAAACGACUGCUAAUACCGCAUAAUGUCUACGGACCAAAGGGGGCUUCGGCUCUCGCCUUUAGAUUGGCCCAAGUGGGAUUAGCUAGUUGGUGAGGUAAUGGCUCACCAAGGCAACGAUCCCUAGCUGGUUUGAGAGGAUGAUCAGCCACACUGGGACUGAGACACGGCCCAGACUCCUACGGGAGGCAGCAGUGGGGAAUAUUGCACAAUGGGCGCAAGCCUGAUGCAGCCAUGCCGCGUGUGUGAAGAAGGCCUUCGGGUUGUAAAGCACUUUCAGUCAGGAGGAAAGGUUAGCGGUUAAUACCCGUUAGCUGUGACGUUACUGACAGAAGAAGCACCGGCUAACUCCGUGCCAGCAGCCGCGGUAAUACGGAGGGUGCGAGCGUUAAUCGGAAUUACUGGGCGUAAAGCGUACGCAGGCGGUUUGUUAAGCGAGAUGUGAAAGCCCCGGGCUCAACCUGGGAACUGCAUUUCGAACUGGCAAACUAGAGUGUGAUAGAGGGUGGUAGAAUUUCAGGUGUAGCGGUGAAAUGCGUAGAGAUCUGAAGGAAUACCGAUGGCGAAGGCAGCCACCUGGGUCAACACUGACGCUCAUGUACGAAAGCGUGGGGAGCAAACGGGAUUAGAUACCCCGGUAGUCCACGCCGUAAACGAUGUCUACUAGAAGCUCGGGUCCUCGGACUUGUUUUUCAAAGCUAACGCAUUAAGU